GACGUAGGAUGCAAGCGUUGUCCGGAAUUAUUGGGCGUAAAGAGUUCGUAGGCGGUUUUUUAAGUCUGAUGUUAAAUACUGGCGCUCAACGCCAGCAUGGCAUUGGAAACUGGGAGACUAGAGUGCGGUAGAGGUCACGGGAAUUCCUGGUGUAGCGGUGAAAUGCGUAGAUAUCAGGAGGAACACCGGUGGCGAAAGCGCGUGACUGGGCCGUAACUGACGCUGAGGAACGAAAGCCAGGGUAGCAAAA
rnacentral:rRNA from 1 species